AUACGGAGGAUGCAAGCGUUAUCCGGAUUUAUUGGGUUUAAAGGGUGCGUAGGCGGGACUGUAAGUCAGGGGUGAAAUACUGCAGCUUAACUGUAGCAUUGCCUUUGAAACUGCCGUUCUUGAGUACAGUUGAGGUAGGCGGAAUGUGGUGUGUAGCGGUGAAAUGCAUAGAUAUACCACAGAACGCCGAUUGCGAAGGCAGCUUACUAAGCUGUUACGUACGCUGAGGCACGAAAGCGUGGGGAUUAAACAGGAUUAGAUACCCUGGUAGUCCACGCUGUAAACGAUGAUUACUGGUUGUUAGCGAUAUAUAGCUAGUGACUGAGCGAAAGCAUUAAGUAAUCCACCUGGGGAGUACGUCGGCAACGAUGAAACUCAAAGGAAUUGACGGGG
rnacentral:rRNA from 1 species